UAGUUCCUGAUGUCACACUGCCAAGAAAAGCUUCUAGUGAGAAAGUAACUGCCCGUACCGCAAACCGACACAGGUAGUUGAGGAGAGAAUCCUAAGGUGUGCGAGAGAACUCUCGUUAAGGAACUCGGCAAAAUGACCCCGUAACUUCGGGAGAAGGGGUGCAGACCGCAAGGUCAGCCGCAGUGAAUAGGCCCAAGCGACUGUUUAUCAAAAACACAGGUCUCUGCAAAAUCGAAAGAUGACGUAUAGGGGCUGACGCCUGCCCGGUGCUGGAAGGUUAAGAGGAGAGGUUAGCGCAAGCGAAGCUUUGAAUUGAAGCCCCAGUAAACGGCGGCCGUAACAAUAACGGUCCUAAGGUAGCGAAAUUCCUUGUCGGGUAAGUUCCGACCCGCACGAAAGGCGUAACGAUUUGGGCACUGUCUCAACGAGAGACUCGGUGAAAUUAUAGUACCAGUGAAGAUGCUGGUUACCCGCGACAGGACGAAAAGACCCCAUGGAGCUUUACUGCAGUUUGAUAUUGCGUGUUUGUAUCACAUGUACAGGAUAGGUAGGAGCCGAAGAUACCGGGACGCCAGUCUCGGAGGAGGCAACGGUGGGAUACUACCCUUGUGAUAUGACCACUCUAACCCGCUGCUCUUAGCGAGCAGGGAGACAGUGUCAGACGGGCAGUUUGACUGGGGCGGUCGCCUCCAAAAAUGUAACGGAGGCGCCCAAAGGUUCCCUCAGAAUGGUUGGAAAUCAUUCGUAGAGUGUAAAGGCAGAAGGGAGCUUGACUGCGAGACCUACAAGUCGAGCAGGGACGAAAGUCGGGCUUAGUGAUCCGGUGGUUCCGCAUGGAAGGGCCAUCGCUCAACGGAUAAAAGCUACCCUGGGGAUAACAGGCUUAUCUCCCCCAAGAGUUCACAUCGACGGGGAGGUUUGGCACCUCGAUGUCGGCUCAUCGCAUCCUGGGGCUGUAGUCGGUCCCAAGGGUUGGGCUGUUCGCCCAUUAAAGCGGUACGCGAGCUGGGUUCAGAACGUCGUGAGACAGUUCGGUCCCUAUCCGUCGCGGGCGUUGGAAAUUUGAGAGGAGCUGUCCUUAGUACGAGAGGACCGGGAUGGACACACCGCUGGUGUACCAGUUGUUCUGCCAAGAGCAUCGCUGGGUAGCUAUGUGUGGACGGGAUAAACGCUGAAAGCAUCUAAGCGUGAAGCCCCCCUCAAGAUGAGAUUUCCCAUCACUUUAAGUGAGUAAGACCCCUGAGAGAUGAUCAGGUAGAUAGGUUGGGAGUGGAAGUACAGCGAUGUAUGGAGCGGACCAAUACUAAUCGGUCGAGGACUUAAUC
rnacentral:rRNA from 1 species